rnacentral:rRNA from 1 species
UACGUAGGGUGCGAGCGUUAAUCGGAAUUACUGGGCGUAAAGCGUGCGCAGGCGGUUGUGCAAGACAGAGGUGAAAUCCCCGAGCUCAACUUGGGAACUGCCUUUGUGACUGCAUGGCUAGAGUGUGUCAGAGGGGGGUAGAAUUCCACGUGUAGCAGUGAAAUGCGUAGAUAUGUGGAGGAAUACCGAUGGCGAAGGCAGCCCCCUGGGAUAACACUGACGCUCAUGCACGAAAGCGUGGGGAGCAAACAGG